rnacentral:tRNA from 1 species
UCAGACUCCAGCCAUUCCGAUCUCGCGUUUGUUUUGGGUACAAAAUGUCACGGGUUCAAAUCCUGUCAUCCCUA